rnacentral:tRNA from 1 species
AAGGGUACAGCUCAGUGGUAGAGUGUGUGCUUAGCAUGCACCAGGUCCUGGGUUCAAUCCCCAGUACCUUCA